UGGCAGGUCAGCAUACUGCCGUGAAUACGUUCCCGGGCCUUGUACACACCGCCCGUCACACCAUGAGAGUUGGGAAUACCCGAAGCCUGUGAGCUAACGUAAGAGGCAGCAGUCGAAGGUAGAAUCAAUGAUUGGGGUGAAGUCGUAACAAGGUAGC
rnacentral:rRNA from 1 species